GCUUGCCUGGACAACACAUGUAUCAAAAUUGGAAGAAUCCGAGAAGAUGAGCCUGGCCCCUAUGCAAGGACAGCACUCAAAUCUGUGAGGAAUUCCAUAUUUUC